AAGCAGGGAGAAGCUUAUAAGGUUAAGACAAAGAAAGAAGUCAGACACGUGGAGAAGAAGAGUUACUCAUGAAAGCUGAAAGCCAACCACUGAACGGACUGUGUGCUUUUACUGCCAGUAUUCUAGAGGAACACUCACGGAAGAAAAAACAACAGGAAUUAAACAUUCACCUAUAAAAGUGUGCGUGUGUUUGCUGCUUCCACACAUUAACCGCAUGGUUUUUAUGCAAAAAGAAAAAAAAUCAAACCAAAAAAAAAAAGAAAAAACACCCAAACAAAAAAAUUAAUCUAGCAUGAGCCAAUUUACAGAGCAUGGAAAUUCACGUUCAUUCACAGGAUUGGAGGGUGCACAGUUACCAAUGCAGUGUAUAUACAAGAUGCCAUGCUGUUAACAGCUUCCUGCAAGCAGUUUGAUGUCAUCUCAAAAGAAAUAAAUUCCUGUGGCCAGAGAGGAUCUACGAAGACACAAUGGUUUAACCAUGAAAAGACACUAAAAUUACUAAAAUCCACAACAGCUCGCCUUAUUUUUCUUGGACCCAAACUGUCAGGGUAUAAAACACUAUUUGUUUCUUUUUUAAACAUCAAUAGUUUUGCUGUAAAUAAAUAACACUGUAUAAAUUCUAACAAAAUAGAAUAAAUGUUGAUAAGGCACUGCCUUUUCGAUCACAAACAGAAUAUUGCAAAUGCAUUGAGCAGGCUAGGUGUCUCAAAUGGCUGCACCUACAGGGAUAUUCUGGGUGUAUCUUCACAGAUUCUUGUAUAUUAGCAAUUAUAAUAUUUGUAUAUGCAAAAACGCUAGCUUGAUUUUAAAAAAAUCUUUAAAAUCUGCUGCAAAUUUAAAUGAUUCCCAAAAUGAGGAAUUCUGUAGUUCUGUGAAAAUUUUUCUUCAGAGUACUAAUAUUUUGAUGCAUGUGUUUCACCUUAUUUUGAUUAAAUCUUUUCCAGUUUUGCAAACACUAUACUGCAACAUGAAAAGUAAGAUUUUAUCUGUAAACACAAAGCCCUUCAUCUAAUAUUUGUUGCUGUUGCCAAUUUUUCAAUGAAAUGACCUAAAACCCAUAACAUAUACAGUAGUUGCAUUAUGGGGAGGGGGGUGCUAUCUGUUCUCGCUUUAUAAUGGGGGUAAUGCUUGCAGCUUUAGAAGUGGGUUGGUGCUCUAAGGAGCACAAGUUUGGGAUAUUUUUAAAUGAACUGAAGAGAAAUUAUUAGCUAAUAGACUGGCAGCACGCUGUAAAAUUAUUACUGUAUUGUGUACUGGCUAUAAGAUGUAGAAUCUUUCAGUAAGCCAAUCAUCUGUAAUCAUCCUAGCAGUGUAAUAUUAGGUUGUUAAGGCUGCUGUGUUUUAAAGGGCAUUUUUAUUUGGGUUUUGGUGAAAUACUUUAAUUUGUUGAUUAUAUUCAUAUGGAAACAGCAUUCAUUGAUAAUAGCUCUAAUUACAUAUGUAUGAAAACAACAAACACUGGAUGAUCUAGUUGAUUAUUUAAGCAUAAAAUAAAUUGUGUUAAAACUC